rnacentral:rRNA from 1 species
UACGGAGGGGGCUAGCGUUGUUCGGAAUUACUGGGCGUAAAGCGCGUGUAGGCGGCUAAGUAAGUCGGGCGUGAAAUCCCACGGCUCAACCGUGGAAGUGCACUCGAAACUGCAUAGCUAGAGUCCUGGAGAGGAAGGUGGAAUGCUUGGUGUAGAGGUGAAAUUCGUAGAUAUCAAGCGGAACACCGGUGGCGAAGGCGGCCUUCUGGACAGUGACUGACGCUGAGGAGCGAAAGCGUGGGGAGCGAACAGG